UCAGCAGUGAUGAGCCGUUUAACAUGUAAGAAGAAUCCCUUGGUGGGUUUCUUCAAUGAAAUCUAUUUGUUACGCUUGGCUUCUGAGCUUU